AUGGAACCAAUGGACCAGGGAGAAAGAACCAAGGCCAGAAGGAAAACCCAGCUCCUCUUUCUGUGCAGAACUGUAAAUAAUUCCAAUAUUUUGGCUCAGUUUGUAGGUCAGGCUCUUUCACACUGUGUGUGGAAGAACCUUUUUUGGGACAACAGUCAUAGAGAAAUGCUACAGCCAUCUGAUCAUUGGGAGAUGGGGACAGCUGGACCAGGCUGGGAUGGGGACAGGAGAAAUGGGGACAGCUGGAUCAGGCUGGGAUGGGGACAGGAGAAGUGGGGACAGCUGGAUCAGACUGGGAUGGGGACAGGAGAAGUGGGGACAGCUGGAUCAGACUGGGAUGGGGACAGGAGAAGUGGGGACAGCUGGAUCAGACUGGGAUGGGGACAGGAGAAGUGGGGACAGCUGGAUCAGACUGGGAUGGGGACAGGAGAAGUGGGGACAGCUGGAUCAGACUGGGAUGGGGACAGGAGAAGUGGGGACAGCUGGAUCAGACUGGGAUGGGGACAGGAGAAGUGGGGACAGCUGGAUCAGACUGGGAUGGGGACAGGAGAAGUGGGGACAGCUGGAUCAGACUGGGAUGGGGACAGGAGAAGUGGGGACAGCUGGAUCAGACUGGGAUGGGGACAGGAGAAGUGGGGACAGCUGGAUCAGACUGGGAUGGGGACAGGAGAAGUGGGGACAGCUGGAUCAGACUGGGAUGGGGACAGGAGAAGUGGGGACAGCUGGAUCAGACUGGGAUGGGGACAGGAGAAGUGGGGACAGCUGGAUCAGACUGGGAUGGGGACAGGAGAAGUGGGGACAGCUGGAUCAGACUGGGAUGGGGACAGGAGAAGUGGGGACAGCUGGAUCAGACUGGGAUGGGGACAGGAGAAGUGGGGACAGCUGGAUCAGACUGGGAUGGGGACAGGAGAAGUGGGGACAGCUGGACCAGGCUGGGAUGGGGACAGGAGAAAUGGGGACAGCUGGGCCAGGCUGGGAUGGGGACAGGAGAGGGCUGGAUGA
rnacentral:lncRNA from 1 species